rnacentral:sRNA from 1 species
AAAACACACUUUUCUGUAAGCUACAGCUUUAGUGUGU